rnacentral:rRNA from 1 species
CCUGGUAGUGGGGGAUAACGUUCGGAAACGGACGCUAAUACCGCAUACGUCCUACGGGAGAAAGCAGGGGACCUUCGGGCCUUGCGCUAUCAGAUGAGCCUAGGUCGGAUUAGCUAGUUGGUGAGGUAAUGGCUCACCAAGGCUACGAUCCGUAACUGGUCUGAGAGGAUGAUCAGUCACACUGGAUUUGAAAAACGGUCCAGACUCCUACGGGAGGCAGCAGUGGGGAAUAUGGGACAAUGGGCGAAAGCCUGA